UACGGAAGGCAGCAGUGGGGAAUAUUGCACAAUGGGCGAAAGCCUGAUGCAGCUAUGCCGCGUGUAUGAAGAAGGCCUUAGGGUUGUAAAGUACUUUCAUCGGGGAGGAAAAACAAAACUAAUAAUUUUAUUUCUUGACGUUACCCGAAAAAGAAGCACCGGCUAACUCCGUGCCAGCAGCCGCGGUAAUACGGAGGGUGCUAGCGUUAAUCAGAAUUACUGGGCGUAAAGAGCACGUAGGUGGUUUUUUUAAGUUCAGAUGUGAAAUCCCUGGGCUUAACCUAGGAACUGCAUUUUGAAACUGAAAUACUAGAGUAUCGUAGAGGGAGGUAGAAUUCUAGGUGUAGCGGUGAAAUGCGUAGAUAUCUGGAGGAAUACCUGUGGCGAAAGCGGCCUCCUAAACGAAUACUGACACUGAGGUGCGAAAGCGUGGGGAGCAAACAGGGAUUAGAUACC
rnacentral:rRNA from 1 species